GUCCCAAUUUUUUUUUAAAAGACGAGAUUCCUCCGAAUGAGGCCCACGAAUGCAGCCUACCUUUUCCCCCAAUUUGAAGGAUACAUCUGAUGCAUCCAUGAUCUGAUGUAACACUCCGCGGCUACCAUAUCCCAGGGGUGGCAAUACGAGCAGGGAAGAAGGGGAGUUUUUUCAAAGGAAAUGGCUUCCGGUCUCCCGCAGCCAGAGUGGAUUUAAAAGCAGCUGAAAACGGAGGAAUCACUAAUAAAUGACAAUACUGGAGGAAUGGAUCUGCUGGAGAAGGACCCGUAAUCUGAAAAGUGCACAGCAGAUCAUCAGGACAGUGCUGCCAUCCACCUGGACCCCCCGAGGUGCUGGAGAAGGACCCCUAACCCCAGCGGAUCAUCAGGACAGAGCUGCCAUCCAC